rnacentral:rRNA from 1 species
AACGAACGCUGGCGGCAUGCCUAACACAUGCAAGUCGAACGAGACCUUCGGGUCUAGUGGCGCACGGUGCGUAACGCGUGGGAACCUGCCUUUAGGUUCGGAAUAACUCAGAGAAAUUUGAGCUAAUACCGGAUAAUGUCUUCGGACCAAAGAUUUAUCGCCUUUAGAUGGGCCCGCGUAAGAUUAGCUAGUUGGUGGGGUAAAGGCCUACCAAGGCGACGAUCUUUAGCUGGUCUGAGAGGAUGAUCAGCCACACUGGGACUGAGACACGGCCCAGACUCCUACGGGAGGCAGCAGUGGGGAAUAUUGGACAAUGGGCGAAAGCCUGAUCCAGCAAUGCCGCGUGAGUGAUGAAGGCCUUAGGGUUGUAAAGCUCUUUUACCCGAGAUGAUAAUGACAGUAUCGGGAGAAUAAGCUCCGGCUAACUCCGUGCCAGCAGCCGCG